rnacentral:lncRNA from 1 species
UGGAUACAUCUCCAUGUGUGGAGGUACUGGCUCCACCACUAUCACUAGCAGGUCUACUGGACUGAGUGGAUACAUCUCCACCACUAUCAUUAACAGGUCUACUGGACUGAGUGGAUACAUCUCCAUGUGUGGAGGUACUGGCUCCACCACUAUCACUAGCAGGUCUACUGGACUGAGUGGAUACAUCUCCACCACUAUCACUAGCAGGUCUACUGGACUGAGUGGAUACAUCUCCAUGUGUGGAGGUACUGGCUCCACCACUAUCACUAGCAGGUCUACCUGACUGAGUGGAUACAUCUCCACCACUAUCACUAGCAGGCCUACUGGACUGAGUGGGUACUGGCUCCACCACUAUCACUAGCAGGUCUACUGGACUGACUGGACACAUCUCCACCACUAUCACUAGCAGGUCUACUGGACUGAGUGGAUACAUCCCCACCACUAUCACUAGCAGGUCUACUGGACUGAGUGGUUACAUCCCCACCACUAUCACUAGCAGGUCUACUGGACUGAGUGGAUACAUCUCCACCACUAUCACUAGCAGGUCUACUGGACUGAGUGGAUACAUCUCCACCACUAUCACUAGCAGGUCUACUGGACUGAGUGGAUACAUCUCCACCACUAUCACUAGCAGGUCUACUGGACUGAGUGGAUACAUCUCCACCACUAUCACUACCAGGUCUACUGGACUGAGUGGAUACAUCUCCACCACUAUCACUAGCAGGCCUACUGGACUGAGUGGAUACAUCUCCAUGUGUGGAGGUACUGGCUCCACCACUAUCACUAGCAGGUCUACUGGACUGAGUGGAUACAUCUCCACCACUAUCACUAGCAGGUCUACUGGACUGAGUGGAUACAUCUCCAUGUGUGGAGGUACUGGCUCCACCACUAUCACUAGCAGGUCUACUGGACUGACUGGACACAUCUCCACCACUAUCAUUAACAGGUCUACUGGACUGAGUGGAUACAUCUCCAUGUGUGGAGGUACUGGCUCCACCACUAUCACUAGCAGGUCUACUGGACUGAGUGGAUACAUCUCCACCACUAUCACUAGCAGGUCUACUGGACUGAGUGGAUACAUCCCCACCACUAUCACUAGCAGGUCUACUGGACUGAGUGGUUACAUCCCCACCACUAUCACUAGCAGGUCUACUGGACUGAGUGGAUACAUCUCCACCACUAUCACUAGCAGGUCUACUGGACUGAGUGGAUACAUCUCCACCACUAUCACUAGCAGGUCUACUGGACUGAGUGGAUACAUCUCCACCACUAUCACUAGCAGGCCUACUGGACUAAGUGGAUACAUCUCCAUGUGUGGAG